CCCUGGCUGGCUCAGUCGGAAGAGCAUGAGACUCUUGAUCUCGGGGUUGUGAGUUGGAGCCCCACAUUAGGCG
rnacentral:tRNA from 1 species